CCUUUAAUGAAAAUAAUAUGAAAAAAAUCAAUAAAAUGGGCAACCAGUCUUUGGAAGAAGAGGAGAUCUCUGUCUCCCUCUUUAAAGGCGGAGUCCAUGAUGUUUGAAAGCCAAUGUUGAUAUUUGAAAUCACCUAAACAAACACGCCCCUACCCCAAUAGAAUCUGGACCUUCUGUUGAUAGACCCGCCCCACACAUACGCAACCCGGCAUUUGAUUUGAUUUGAUUGGCUAUAAGUGUGUUUUGGUAGUCGGCCCGUCUUCUUUUCCAAAGCGUUUUUCAAACAUCGUGGACUCCGCCUUUAAAUGACCUGUAUGAAUGGGUUUUAUUCCCUAUCAAAUUAAGGUCUAAUGGACAGUAGAUAUGUUAGUUAAAGGGUUUUAGGUAUGAUACUAUGAAAGAAAAAAGCACUAAAAAGACCAAUAACCUUGAUUAUUAACCUAUUGACACAGUAUACACCAUUUCCCCAUAAUAUAUAUGUACUUACAAGGCAUUUGCCCACCGGCAACUAUAGUUGCCGCUUGGACUUUUGACUAAGUAUAUAAAAAACUAUAGAUCUCUUGUAAGAUUUGUUUUGUUUGGAUGACUCUAGAGACCUUCAUGAUUAUGUAGAUACAUAAAUGUCAACCAAAAAUACUUGUUAGUAAAAUGAAAAUUACCUUUCUUUUGGAGGGUUUGCCUUCGCCAUGUUUCUUGGAAGAAGAGGUAAGAAGUUGACAGCCUCAUGUGACAGGAAGGAGAUAAAUACCUUUUCUUUCUUUUUUAAAUCCUUUAUUUGAUUGUUAGCUUGCAUGUCAUUGAGAAAUAAAACAUGGAUAACAUCUAAAAAAUUCUUAAAAAAAGGAAAAUGACAACUAUGCACUGUGGCAACUAUAGUUGCCGGUGGGCUGAAAUGGGUUAAAAUAGGGCCCAUGAUGUAUUUAGCUAGUGAUACCACUACCAGUCUUAAAUGUAUAACUGAUGAUGACAGAGUUUUUUUUCUCUCUGCAUAAUCAUAGGAACCCAGGCAGUACCGUCGUUUCACAAUGUUUCCAUCACCAUCAUCAGUGGAUGCCUUUGCCGUCUGUAGCCUGAGAUUUCAGAUUUGCAGCAAAAAAUUUGAUUUUCCCAUUUAUUGGAAUGCUGUGCAGGUUGUACCUUGCAGCCAUCCAUUACAACGUUACCAAGCCGUAACAAAAGCAGGAGAGGGAAAGUAUAAGGUUAUGUUCCCAAAAAACACAAGCGACAUACUUUAUAUGGAUGAUGUGAUCAGGCUUGUGUUUGAUGAGGUAUUUGAAGAUAAGCUGAAGGAAACCCCGAUUCCAAUGGACCUGGCAUCACAGUUUGAGAGACCUUCAAAGGACGUGAUUGCAUGCCAUCUUCAGUGUAGGGGUCGUCUGAAGCCAACAUACUGACCAGUCAGAUCAGGAAGCUCCAAGCGUAUCUUGAGAACAACACACGACAGGAUGAUAACCCUAUAGUGUCGUCUUAAAUAGCAGCAGCUGACAAAGCUUUGAUAUGCCAUUUAUCUGUAUAGAAUAGAUAGCUGUAAGAUGUGAAAUGAACAAUUUUUGAAAGAAGAGCACAAUAUGGUUACUAAAGUAUGUUUAUUUGUAUAUUGUUUAACAUUUAAAUAUAUAUUUGUAAUAAAUAAAAAAACUUUUGAUUGAGUACUAUAUUUUCUUUAAAGUUACAUCUUUUGUUAUUUUGGGUACUUUGUUACUAUAAUGAUACUCGUUUAAAAAUGUAAUAAAACUUACUCUAGUCCUGCGCCUCAAAGGCUUAUAGUCGGUACAAUAAAUGUUCUGUGUGUAGGGAUUUAGACAAUUAGUGCAAAACCUGGAUGAUGGAUCAUGCAGGUAAGAGGCCCUGGAACCUGUUGCAUUCUCCUUAAAACCUAAUAAGUAAAAACAUAGCACGUAUAAGUAAGCAGUCUUUCAUAAUAAAGUUUACCAUAGUGAAAUAAUGUAGAACUAACAUUCAUUUCAAUUAAUACUUUCUAUGUGCUA